GACGAACGCUGGCGGCGUGCUUAACACAUGCAAGUCGAACGGAAAGGCCCUGCUUUUGUGGGGUGCUCGAGUGGCGAACGGGUGAGUAACACGUGAGUAACCUGCCCUUGACUUUGGGAUAACUUCAGGAAACUGGGGCUAAUACCGGCUAGGAGCUCCUGCUGCAUGGUGGGGUUUGGAAAGUUUCGGCGGUUGGGGAUGGACUCGCGGCUUAUCAGCUUGUUUGUGGGGUAGUGGCUUACCAAGGCUUUGACGGGUAGCCGGCCUGAGAGGGUGACCGGCCACAGUGGGACUGAGAUACGGACCAGAAUCCUACGGGAGGAAGCAGUGGGGAAUAUUGCACAAUGGGCGGAAGCCUGAUGCAGCAACGCCGCGUGCGGGAUGACGGCCUUCGGGUUGUAAACCGCUUUCGCCUGUGACGAAGAGUGAGUGACGGUAAUGGGUAAAGAAGCACCGGCUAACUACGUG
rnacentral:rRNA from 1 species